GCAUUAGUGGUGUAGCGGUAACAUUGGGUCUUCCCACUUAAGGUGGUUGGCCUAGCUCCGGGUUCGACUCCCGGCUGAUGCA